AAGUCGUAACAAGGUUUCCGUAGGUGAACCUGCGGAAGGAUCAUUAAUAAACCUAGUCGCUCGCGUCAGGGGCAACCCGCGCGCGAGCGUCUCACCUAGGUCACCCUUGAAUAAACUACCUUCGUUGCUUUGGCGGGCCGCCUCCAAGGCCAGCGGCUUCGGCUGCUGCGCGCCCGCCGGAGGACCACAACUCUUGUUUUUAGUGAUGUCUGAGUACUAUAUAAUAGUUAAAA
rnacentral:misc_RNA from 1 species